GAAUAGAGGUAUUUUGUUGCAAUUGCAUAAAAUAUUUCUGAAAGAAUAACAAGAACCUUGUAUUGCUGACUUCCUAUAGUGAGAACUGGGUGGUGGAGGAAGAGGAACGGGACAGAAACUUUUUAUUAAGUAGCCUUUUGAAUUUCAAACCAUAUGAUAGUAUAUCUUAUUCAAAACUUAAAUUUAAAAAUACAUGCAAGAACAAAGAACACACAGAAAACUGUCUCAUGAGAGAAAACGAAGACUUGUGUUAGUCUCUUGCUUUAACUAGGCAUAGAGUGAUUUGUACUCUCAAAGAAUCCAAAGUCAAGAGACAAAUUCUAUUUUUAAAGAUUUCCUAGCAUUGCUCAAUCAAGUAAGCUUCUAGACUUUAAACACAAAAGGCUGUCAGAUUUCUGACUCCUGCUUAGAGUGUAAUAGCAUUGCUCUCACCCUUACCAAAAAAAAGGCUGAAUAAUUUACAAAAUGACACUUUUUCUUGAGCUCAUCAAAGAACGGAAAUGGAAGGAAAUAAACUAAGCUGAAAUUUAAGGAAAAACAGGCACCUCCAGGAAGAGCUGGGACACAGGUCCUUGCUUACCUGUUAUAGAUAGAUGUUGGACGCCAUACAAUCUGGCAAGAAGAAUCCAACCGAACCUUGCAAUGAAUCGCUAAAGGCCACAUGUGGGACCUGCAUGAACGCACAGACCGCAUGGGGGCUGCAGGCUUCAGGGAAACGCACGCCCACUCGCAGACUCUUCUCCGUGGAACACACUGAAUGCUCACGAGAAAGGCUUGCGCAGCCAGCCUGAACCUUGCUUCGGAUUUCUCACCCCCAUGCUCAGCCUUGGGUCAGCUGUAAGCCUGACACGUCUGCUCGGAAACGUCACCGAAGCCAGAGAGCAGCUGCUCAUUCCAGCCCCCCACCCUGGCAGGCCAUCAUCCAUUUCUUACAUGGACAAGAGCAACUGACAUCCCUGCAGGGCUCCAGACAGACAGGCAACAGGUGUGCCAAGAGUUCUGUCUCAGCCCGCAGGGUGGCCAGACCAGGCUUGUGGAGGCUGGAGCCUCUGGACCAGCAUCUUGCAGCCUAAGGACACCUCAUCUGCUAAUCUCAGCAGGCAGCUCCAACGUCGUCAUUUUUCAUGUUGCUUCCAUGUGAGAAAUGUGGGGAGGACCAAUCUCCCAAGCAUCCUCUUCUGCCCAUUCAGACCCAUCCUAGGCACUGUGGCCAGAUUAAUCUCCGUGGAGUCCAACUAGGACAGUGCAGCUUGCCUUCAGAGCGGCCAUCAGGAUUCUGCACCAUGUGAAAGUUACUGACAGCUACAAGGGCAGGCAAGAAGACCCACCCCCAGGGUCUUCCUACAGCAAGAGUCCCAUGGAUUGAGAGGAUGUGCAGAGAAAAGCAGCCUCUGAAAACAUCUGGGAAGCUCACCCCCCAACCUGCUCCUUCAGCUGGGAUUGUGGUUCUCAAACCCUGCAGCGUACAAGGAUCACCCACAGCAGUUGGGAGAAAUGCAGGUUCCAGGACCUCCUCCUGCCCCACCCAAAUGUUUCACCAGUGUGUUUGCAACAAGACCCAGCAGCCUGUGUUUUCAGGGAACACACUGUGGACACAGACCUUACUUUGAGAAACAGUGCCCUGAGGAUCUCCGCUAACUGGCCGAUUUCCCCCAAUCACCUCAGAAGAUGAAACAAUGGCAUGUGGGCAGGAAUUUGCAGUAAAAAGCAGUGUUUCAGCCUAAAA